GUUGACCUCGGAUCAGGUAGGGAUACCCGCUGAACUUAAGCAUAUCAAUAAGCGGAGGAAAAGAAACCAACAGGGAUUGCCCUAGUAACGGCGAGUGAAGCGGCAACAGCUCAAAUUUGAAAUCUGGCGUCUACGGCGUCCGAGUUGUAAUUUGUAGAGGAUGCUUCUGGGCAGCCACCGGUCUAAGUUCCUUGGAACAGGACGUCAUAGAGGGUGAGAAUCCCGUAUGCGACCGGACAGGCACCCUCCACGUAGCUCCUUCGACGAGUCGAGUUGUUUGGGAAUGCAGCUCUAAAUGGGAGGUAAAUUUCUUCUAAAGCUAAAUACCGGCCAGAGACCGAUAGCGCACAAGUAGAGUGAUCGAAAGAUGAAAAGCACUUUGGAAAGAGAGUUAAAAAGCACGUGAAAUUGUUGAAAGGGAAGCGAUUGCAACCAGACUUGCUCGCGGUGUUCCGCCGGUCUUCUGACCGGUCUACUCGCCGCGUUGCAGGCCAGCAUCGUCUGGGGCCGCCGGAUAAGACUUUGGGAAUGUAGCUCCCUCGGGAGUGUUAUAGCCCAUCGUGAUGCGGUGCGUCCCGGGCGAGGUCCGCGCUUCGGCUAGGAUGCUGGCGUAAUGGUCGUAAUCGGCCCGUCUUGAAACACGGACCAAGGAGUCUAGCAUCUAUGCGAGUGUUCGGGUGUAAAACCCCUACGCGUAAUGAAAGUGAACGGAGGUGGGAACUUUUUGUGCACCAUCGACCGAUCCUGAUGUCUUCGGAUGGAUUUGAGUAAGAGCAUAGCUGUUGGGACCCGAAAGAUGGUGAACUAUGCCUGAAUAGGGUGAAGCCAGAGGAAACUCUGGUGGAGGCUCGCAGCGGUUCUGACGUGCAAAUCGAUCGUCAAAUUUGGGUAUAGGGGCGAAAGACUAAUC
rnacentral:rRNA from 1 species